rnacentral:tRNA from 1 species
ACAUCUGUCGUCCAGUGGCUAGGAUAGCGGUCUCCAAAACCGUUGACGGGCGUUCGAAUCGCUCCAGGUGUG